CUCUCCCUCUCUCCCUCUCCCUCUCUCAUUCGCUUAACAGUCAGCUUCAGUCUCUCACAAGGGGGAGAUUUGAUUCUGCGAAAAAUCAUCCUCUGCUAUUUCUGCUGCAAGGGCCUCCCCUUCAGACAGCUUGUGCCAGAGCAAGAGUUUUUCUUUUUUUUUCUCCCUUUACUACUAAAUGGAUUUUUAACCCUGUGACUGCAACGACUUUAUGGCAGCCUGAACUCAUUUGGUAUUUUCAACAGGAAAAAUAUCUUUACGGAUACAUUUUGAUGUUUGUUUGUUUGUGGGGUUUGUUACCCAACUCCAUUUUUCUGGUGUUUAGAGGGAGCCGCAAGUUCCAGAUUUUAUUUUUUGUUUCAAUUUUAUUUAUUUUUUAGCAUCAAACAUUUCAGUAUGCUUACUAGAAGUAUUCCAUAUAGUUGGGUCUUCAUUCUUCCCCAAAACCACAAGUGAAGUGGGGCGCAGGAUAUAUAUAUAUAAUUUUUUUUUAAAUAUUAUUUUAUCCUUUUUUACUCCUUUCUUUUGAGAAUGGCAGUACUUGCAGCGGCCCCAGGAAAAAAUGGCUGUAUAUUGUGAGAGUACUCUGCACAUCUGCGGGUAAAGACAGCAUGCAAUUUGAUUGCGAAACACAUGAAGUGGAGCGCUCACUUUUUUCUACCUCAUUUUCACAACUUUAGCACCUGGAAGUGGAUGUCUUAACUCUCAUCUACUCUUGGUUAUUGAAAUACUGCUGUGAUUUGAACAAUACUGUUGACCUCAUAUUCUGAGCUGUUGUAACUUAACCAGCAUAUAAGUACAACUAAAGGAGUAUUGGGAGGCAGGGCUCAUUCUGGCAACAAUGAGCAGAAAGCAAGAAGCCAAACCUGAAUGUGACAACAGCAAACUGACUCUGUCUCAUCUCAAUUAGACCUAUUUAAACUACAGAUUUCAAAAUAUUCUAUGACAAGAACCAAUUAAAAUGAGGGCAAAUGGCUGACAAUACAAUGGGUACAUCAAGAGACAGGAUCACCAUGAACACCACUUUUGAGCGCUCCCUAAGGCUAUUUACAAGGACUGAAAGAUGGAAUCAUUAGAGUUCCUAUUGCACUUUGGAACAUAAGAACAUAAGAAGUUUGACAAACAAGAGUGGAAAGACCACCCAGAGGAAACCCACAUGAAUAACAUUCAAGUUCCACGCAUGGAGCUCCCAGAACAUGAACCCUGGUCUGCUUACUGUGAGGCACCAGCACUACCACUGCACCCACCUUAUUAGUGACUGAUACGAAGAAUAUUUUCAGAGUCACAGCUAUCCUGGCAGAAAAGAAUCAUGGAUCGCAGGGCCUUUUUAUUCAACACACACUGACAGCCCAGGUCAAAAACUGGAAUACCUUGCUGAAAUACCCUACCAACAUAGGGAGAACAAGAACAUUCCACACCAACAACAUCCUACUGCAAGAUUUAAACUCAGAAUAUUUGUCUUGGGAGACACAACCACUAUUUAGUGCACCAACUGUAGUCAUCUUUAAAAUGUAAAUACUGUGGAUGUAUCUUGAUUGUAACACACAGAAAACCAUAGACCUACCAAAUCAAAGCAUAAAUAUUGUUUCUUCCAGUGAAAUUUGAAAUGUUGUUGAGUUUUGCCUGAUUAAGUUAUGAACUAUUAUAACUGUUAAGGUAUCUAGCUAAGGCUGAUAACAAAUCAUUAGGCUAUUCAGCAGAGCUGAAGGGGCUCGACAAAAUUUGAAGUAAAAACAAAACGAGGUCAAUAUCAGAAUUUUUUUCACUAAAAUGUAUGAUUUCUUCAGCACAAGCCACUUGCAAACUCUGUUAUAUUUUGUCUAGGACAUACAAGUGCCAGAUGGCAGAGAAGAAGAAAAAUAAACAAGACUAGGAGAUGGAUAAUAAUUGAAAUGAGCAAUCAGAAACAUGAAAAAGGUCAGAGUACCAGGAUGAGACUGUACAGACUCAGAAUGAGACAGUGAACCUUUUAUGAAGGGGAUCAAGAGAUCAGAACAUAGUUGGGAGUUUGUGCCACGGUUGAUACCAAAGAAUGCUAGGCAAUCAACCGUCAAGUCCAAAAUGCAAGGCAAAAUCAAAGGUCUAAAGAAACAAAGCUAUUCAAAUAUUUAGAAAUCUUUUAACAGAUGUGUAGAUUUGUGCACCAGUACUGUUUUUAUAUAAACCACAAACUUUCUGGUUACAACAUGCUUCCAUUUACUGGUAUUUCUGGGAAAUAUUGUUGUGGCAACAGCCAACUUGAAUUCUCAAAAAUCCCUAAUUGGACGCAUACUAAUUGAAAAUCCAUCAAAGAAAAGAUAUGAAGAAUUAACAAACAUUGUUAAUAAUAAAAGAGGCAAGUUUUUAAAAAACAAUACCACAAGAGUUAGACUCAAAAUUAAAUAAAAAAACAAGGCAAAAUGCCUACACACUUAAUUGCCCAUAACUAUUACCAAAAAGCGUUGAUUUAUUUUAAAAGAAGUGAAUCCAAAGAUUGCAUGAUAUCUAAAUAGAGUUUGUCCAAUGAUGUGGUAUAUGCCAGUCAUGCAGCUUUACACAAAAGGCUGUCAUAAACAACAUGAUGGUGUUCAUAGCAUAACACUACAAAAUGGCACUGUCCUUGAAAAGAAAAUGGCAAUGUGAGAAAUGUUGCAAUAAAUGUAAUGUCAUUUUCUAAGUCGCAAAAUCCAAACCAGGAGCCUCGUGCAUAAUGCUGUACGUAGGAUUCACACUAAAACAUGGCAUAUGGACAAAAAUCUAAAUGUGUGUAUGCGCAAAAAAAUUCAGAUGCAGAAAACCGUGCGUAAGCCAACUUCCACGCACUUCUGCUACAUGAAUCCCGGUCUGCAUGAAAUGUAACGCUCAUGCACGCGCCUGCUAUCCCUCCCAGACUCCUACCAGAACUAUACCUCUUUGAAUAUGCAAAUCAAUAUAAAUAUUCCCUUAAAUUCAGCAUUCUGAGAAAAGACAAUGGCA